AUGAUACCAUUAUGGAAUGAUCCUAGUAUUAGAUAUGGUGCUGAUGCUGCUGACACAUGUCUUCUUCACCAUCAUCUCCAGAUCAGAGAGACUCACAUUUUCAACCUCUCCCUGUCUGAGUCUGUAAUACCAACAUGUUUCAAGCAGACCACCAUAGUCCCUGUGCCCAAGAACACUAAGGUAACCUGCCUAAAUGACUACCGACCUGUAGCACUCACGUCUGUAGCCAUGAAAUACUUUAAAAGGCUUGUCAUGGCUCACAUCAACACCAUUAUCCCAGAAAUCCUAGACCCACUCCAAUUUGCAGACCUCCCCAACAGAUCCAUAGAUGAUGCGAUCACUAUUGCGCUCCACACUGCCCUUUCCCACCUGGACAAAAGGAACACCUAUGUGAGAAUGCUAUUCAUUGACUACAGCUCAGCGUUCAACACUAUAGUGCCCACAAAGCUCAUCACUAAGCUAAGGACCCUGGGACUGAACACCUUCCUCUGCAACUGGAUCCUGGACUUCCUGUCGGGCCGCCCCCAGGGGGUAAGGGUAGGUAACAACACAUCCGCCACGCUGAUCCUCAAAACUGGGGCCUCUCAGGGGUGCGUGCUCAGUCCCCUCCUGUACUCCCUGUACACUCAUGACUGCACGGCCAGGCCCGACUCCAACACCAUCAUUAAGUUUACUGAUGACACAACAGUGGUAGGCCUGAUCAACGACAACAAUGAGACAGCCUAUAGGGAGGAGGUCAGAGACCUGACUGUGUGGUGCCAGGACAACAACCUCUCCCUCAACGUGAUCAAGACAAAGGAGAUGAUUGUGGACUACAGGAAAAGGAAGACCGAGCACGCCCCCAUUCUCAUCGACGGGGCUGAAGUGGAGCAGGUUGAGAGCUUCAAGUUCCUUGGUGUCCACAUCACCAACAAACUAACAUGGUCCAAGCACACCAAGACAGUCGCGAAGAGGGCACAACAAAAACUAUUCCCCCUCAGGAGACUGAAAAGAUUUGGCAUGGGUCCUCAGAUCUUCAAAAGGUUUUACAGCUACAUCCUCGAGAGCAUCCUGACGGGUUGCAUCACUGCCUGGUAUGGCAGCUGCUCGGCCUCUGACCGCAAGGCACUACAGAGGGUAGUGCGUACAGCCCAGUACAUCACCGAGGCCAAGCUUCUUGCCAUCCAGGACCUCUAUACCAAGCGAUGUCAGAGGAAGGGCCUAAAAUUGUCAAAGACUCCAGCCACCCUAGUCAUAGACUGUUCUCUCUGCCAUCGCACGGCAAGUGGUACCGGAGCGGCAAGUCUAGGUCCAAGAGGCUUCUAA
rnacentral:lncRNA from 13 species